UUGAGCCUUGAUGUGUAGGAUAGGUGGGAGGCUUUGAAGUGUGGACGCCAGUCUGCAUGGAGCCGACCUUGAAAUACCACCCUUUAAUGUUUGAUGUUCUAACGUGGACCCGUUACCCGGGUUGCGGACAGUGUCUGGUGGGUAGUUUGACUGGGGCGGUCUCCUCCUAAAGAGUAACGGAGGAGCACGAAGGUUGGCUAAUCCUGGUCGGACAUCAGGAGGUUAGUGCAAUGGCAUAAGCCAGCUUGACUGCGAGCGUGACGGCGCGAGCAGGUGCGAAAGCAGGUCAUAGUGAUCCGGUGGUUCUGAAUGGAAGGGCCAUCGCUCAACGGAUAAAAGGUACUCCGGGGAUAACAGGCUGAUACCGCCCAAGAGUUCAUAUCGACGGCGGUGUUUGGCACCUCGAUGUCGGCUCAUCACAUCCUGGGGCUGAAGUAGGUCCCAAGGGUAUGGCUGUUCGCCAUUUAAAGUGGUACGCGAGCUGGGUUUAGAACGUCGUGAGACAGUUCGGUCCCUAUCUGCCGUGGGCGCUGGAGAACUGAGGGGGGCUGCUCCUAGUACGAGAGGACCGGAGUGGACGCAUCACUGGUGUUCGGGUUGUCAUGCCAAUGGCACUGCCCGGUAGCUAAAUGCGGAAGAGAUAAGUGCUGAAAGCAUCUAAGCACGAAACUUGCCCCGA
rnacentral:rRNA from 1 species